rnacentral:rRNA from 1 species
GAUGAACGCUGGCGGCGUGCUUAACACAUGCAAGUCGAACGAGAAGUGAAGACGGAACCCUUCGGGCGGAAGGCUUUAUUUCGAGUGGCGGACGGGUGAGUAACGCGUGGGUAACCUGCCUCAUACAGGGGGAUAACAGUUGGAAACGACUGUUAAUACCGCAUAAGACCACAGCACCGCAUGGUGCGGGGGUAAAAACUCCGGUGGUAUGAGAUGGACCCGCGUUCGAUUAGCCAGUUGGCGGGGUAACGGCCCACCAAAGCGACGAUCGAUAGCCGAUCUGAGAGGAUGACCGGCCACAUUGGGACUGAGACACGACCCAAACUCCUACGGGAGGCAGCAGUGGGGAAUAUUGCACAAUGGGGGAAACCCUGAUGCAGCGACGCCGCGUGAGUGAAGAAGUAUUUCGGUAUGUAAAGCUCUAUCAGCAGGGAAGAAAAUGACGGUACCUGAGUAAGAAGCCCCGGCUAACUACGUG